GACUAAGGUUCGACUCGAGCGAAGCGAGAGAACGUUGCCGCAGGCAACGGCCCGAAGGGCGAGGCGCUUUAGCGCCGAGUAAUCCUUCCCCCACCACUG
rnacentral:sRNA from 1 species